GCUACGCUGGCGGCAUGCUUACACAUGCUUUAUUGAACGGGUUUAAGUUUAUCAAACUUAUACAAGUAGCGGACGGGUGAGUAACGCGUAAGAACCUACCUUUCAGGUAAGGAAUAACUAUUGGAAACGAUAGAUAAUACCUUAUAAGCUUAUAGUAACAAGAUAAAAUCGCCUAAGGAUGGGCUUGCGUCUGAUUAGCUUGUUGGUGAUUUAAAAGAUUCACCAAGGCAACGAUCAGUAGUUGGUCUAAGAGGAUGAUCAACCACACUGGGACUGAGACACGGCCCAGACCUCUACGGAGGGCAGCAGUGAGGAAUUUUCCGCAAUGGGCGAAAGCCUGACGGAGCAAUGCCGCAGUGGAGGAUGAAAGCUUGUGAGUCGUAAACUCCUUUUCUUAGUGAAGAAAUAAGACGGUAUCUAAGGAAUAAGACAUCGGCUAACUCCGUGCCAGCAGCCGCGGUAAUACGGAGGAUGCAAGCGUUCAUUCGGAAUUAUUGGGCGUACAAGCGUCUGUAGGUGGUUUUUUCAAGACUCACUGUUACAAUAUUAAGGGCUUAACCUUACAACAAAGCGGUAUCGAAAACU
rnacentral:rRNA from 1 species